GACAGAGGCCACGAACGUUGUUCGGAAUCACUGGGCCUAAAGCGCACGUAGGCGGCUGGGUCCGUCCGAUGUGAAAGCCCCCGGCUCAACCGGGGAAUUGCAUCGGAUACAGCCCGGCUUGAGGACGGUUGGGGUGAGUGGAACUCCUGGUGGAGCGGUGAAAUGCGUAGAUAUCAGGAAGAACACCCGUGGCGAAGGCGGCUCUCUGGGACGGUACUGACGCUGAGACGCGAAAGCGUGGGGAGCGAACAGG
rnacentral:rRNA from 1 species